GGGCCACUCGAAUUUUUGGAGAGACAUCACUCUGACAUCGGUUGAAAAAAAUCUUUUCCCAAUCAGUCGUGUGUCACUGGAGUGAAUCUUACCCCG